GAUGAACGCUAGCGGCAGGCCUAACACAUGCAAGUCGAACGGUAACAUGAGUAGCAAUACUUGAUGACGAGUGGCGCACGGGUGCGUAACGCGUAUGCAACUUACCUCUAACUGGAAGAUAGCCUUCCGAAAGGAAGAAUAAUACUCCAUAAUAUUACGAUGUGGCAUCACAUUGUUCUUAAAGCUUCGGCGGUUAGAGAUAGGCAUGCGUCUGAUUAGUUUGUUGGUGAGGUAACGGCUCACCAAGACUACGAUCAGUAGGGGGCCUGAGAGGGUUAUCCCCCACACUGGUACUGAGACACGGACCAGACUCCUACGGGAGGCAGCAGUGAGGAAUAUUGGUCAAUGGACGAAAGUCUGAACCAGCCAUGCCGCGUGCAGGAUGAAUGCCCUAUGGGUUGUAAACUGCUUUUAUAUAGGAAUAAACCCCCCGACGUGUCGGGGGCUGAAGGUACUAUAAGAAUAAGGACCGGCUAACUCCGUGCCAGCA
rnacentral:rRNA from 1 species